GGGUGUUACCCGUUCCAGAUUGGCCAGGAAUAGCUCACAGAAUUCAAAACAGUUUUGCAUGUGAGGCUGCGAACAGUCGACGAAUCCCUGGAAUCCUGGAUCAAAUGGCGUAUUGAGAGCGGUGCUGAGUCUUCCUUGAUUUGCAGUUGCGUCCGUGGCAGCCUGUAGUCUCGCACGUCGUCCCGUGGAUUGCCACCGCUUCUCUUCUCCUUCUCUCCACGGGCGCGCUCGGUACAGAGGAAAGGGACGGGCCGCCGCCGUCGGACUCGACCGCCAGUGCCAGCGCCAACGGAUGAGAUCUCCAUCGCCGCCUCCCUCCCUCUCCUCAUCCCGAUCUGGAUCGCCUCCCUCCGCUCUCCCCUUAUCCCGAUCUGGAUCGCCGCAGCGGCAUCGCCACCCGCCGCUGGGGCCAUGGCGCCGGCCUGAGCCGCUGUCCGCCUCCACGUAAAGAAAACCGUCGCGCCGUCCUCCCGCCCGCAGCCCCGUCGGAAAAAUCUUGACCCGCAGCCCUCCAUCUGCUCGUGCCGCCGCCUCCUCCCCAGCGCUCCUCCUCAUCGAGCCGCCUCCCCCACCGCCGUCCUCCUCCUCAUGGAGCCGCUGCCCCGACCCCCGGUCCCCAAAUCUCUGAUGCCCGUGGAGAUCAAAUCCGCUGCCGCCGCGCGACUCCGAAGUCUGCCGCCGCCACCAGUUUGGGUUCGGGGAGGGAGGGCGCUCGCCGCGUCGCCGGAUGUCCGUCACGCCGCUCUUCCUCUCCGCAGAUGACGUCUCCCACGCAGCGGCGGCCGCCGCCCUCCUUAGCCGCGGAGGAUGCCUCCAACAGACGCCCGCCUCCCUUACCCGCAGCCGCGCUGCCGUUCGUCGCAGCCUGGGACGCCAUCGCGGAGGACGCCGCCGCCGCGCACCGUCCGUCCAUCGCCGCCAUCAUACCCUGCGCUCUCUCGCGAAGCUACCACCGUGCCGACACCGCCGCGUUGCACCAUCACCAUCCACGCCCUGGCCAUGUCCUUCUUAUAAGGUUUCUUAGGCUGUAGACACAAAAGUUAUUAUAUUCAAGGAGUAUUACGCUGAACAAAGAGACAUUGACAGGAACUGAAAAAGUUGAGAUCAACCAACAGAGAAGGCAUAUAUGAGUCAUUUCUGCAACAAGAAGGAACGGAUAAGUCAGGUAGUGUUGUUGUUGCUGCUUAAAUUAAGAUGAUGAAUCAAGGAACUGUUGAUUUGUGUUAUGUCGACAAUACCAAGGCCAGCCUUCAUGCUUGCACUUGCCAUUUUCAGUCCUCUUUUGUGUUACCAUUCUUAUUCUCUAAUCUUAAUUUAAGCUAUUCCUCCACAUAUUAUGCUUCCUUUUCCAGAAUUAUUUGGUACUUUACACAAUUUUCCUUUCCACUCCCUAUUGAUUAUGCUUCUUACUUUUUACUUGGUGGUCGAUUAGAUGGAUUUCUGCCAACAUUUAAUUACUUGGUACUUAUAGAUGUUAUUCCUCUAUGAUUUAUAUAUACCAUAUCUCAAUUCUUAAGGCAUGCGAUCUAUUUAUAUAUAUCAUUACUUUAAGCGAGGGAAGACUAGCUGUGCUUCCAUAGGAGGAAUUAUGCCCAUAACAUGUCUGUAACUCUUUGCUGGUUCCAUACUUUCAUAGUUCAGCUUCUUCAGGUGCAAUUGUACUGCUUCAUGCAUGUGCCCACAACUCAACUCUAGUUGACUCAGCCUUCGAUCAGUGGAACUGAUCAGGCAUGCAGCUAAUGAGAUAAAAAGCAUGGUUACCAUUUUUCACAGCGCGUGUCAAGUAAAUAAUUGACACAUUUACUGAUGCUUUUAGGAAACAUGAUAUUCCUCUGAUCCUAAAUUCUAGACUCAAAUUUGUCCAAAUAUGAAUGUAUCUAUUCUUAAAAAAGCGUCUAGAUACAUGUAAUAUUUUGACAAUAAUUUAGGAUCGGAGGGAGUACAUGACUAUUUGGCCACAUUAUUUAUUUAUUUGUGUUCACAUGACAGAUUUUGUUUCCAAAUAGCUUACAUAUUUAUAGGCGAUGAGAUAAAAAGCAUGGUUUGUGGCGACGCGGUGCCUGAGCGGAAAGAGAGGGAAGAAGGGAAGAGAAAGACACAGUGGACUUCCAAAUAACUUCUUUUUCUGAGGAAUGGAGGCAAGAUUAAAAUAGGAAUGGAGGCAAGAUUACUUCCGACACAGAACAGCACACCUUGGCCAUUGUAACAUUUCUUGGAUGAAGUGAUUUCUAAUCAAACAAUUUUGUCCACAUAUAUAUUGUUAGAUAGCUAGCGUUUGUGUAGUAGUUCCAUCAUUAUUUGUAAUCAAAUGUACGCAGAGUUUGCAGAAGCUAGGGAAGAAAGGAUACCUACUUGCUUGAGAAAACUGCAUUGGAUUACGAUGACGAUGACACUGGUAAGUUGUCUGGAUCUAUAGGCGCACAUAUUAUGUGGAAACUUGCAUGCCAACAUUUAUUCUUAGAUUCUUACAGCAACUCUGCUAAGUUAUUUUUCGAUUAAAACCAACUCUGCUAAGUUAUCAUGUUGCUACUCUGGAUUUGAUUAUUUCUACUUGGUGAAUGCAUAUGUUUUUGGUUGAUACUACUUUUCCUAUACAUAUGUUUUUUUAGAUUUAGGCGUACAUUUUUAUUACUUUGGAUUUGAUUAUUUCUACUUGGUGAAUGCAUAUGUCCCAAAUUCUGGCUCUACCUUGCGUAUAUUUGUAAUCUGUGCUUUCUUCUCAUUGUUGUUGAUGCGUCAUGGUUUUACUGUAUCUUGAUCUUCCUUGUAUCUAUUUUUUUUCCUGCAUCUUGAUCUUUAGAUUUACAAGGUUUAUGAUUGGGAUUCAUAUUUCAAUGACUAUAUAGAUCACUUGCCUAGCUUUCCAAUCUCAUGUUUCUUUUGACAUCCAUACAUCGUGUGCUGCAUAUUCACUGAAUCACUUCAAAUUACAUGUUGUUAUGAAUAUACACGAGGAAUGAUAUUAUUGUUUCUGCCUGCAGUCCAGCACAAUAUCUGAUCACAGAAUACAUCAAUGCUGUUCCUGCAUUCCCUGAAUUCUACUCCCUCCGUCCCAUAAUUCUUGUCGCUGUUUUAGUUCUAAUUCUUGUCGUUGUUUUAGUUCAGCGACAAGAAUUAUGGGACGGAGGGAGUAGAAUACAUCAAUGCUUUGAGAUAUAACCAACAUGAAACCUCAACAAUUUCUUACAUGCAGUGCAAUUAUUUGAUAAGAAAUUUUGCAACAAGAUGGUUCCUUAGAGAAAGUGACAUACACCUGGUUAAAAUGUGUAACCUUGUUCAUGAGGAAGAUGGUGUUUGAAAUUCAAAGUCAAGAAAGAUGAUAUAUUAUUUCUUGAAAAGACCACAACUGAUCUGUAAAGGCUAGGCAAUUAAUUAAUGAAUUUCACUAUCUCAGGCUCUCGUCUAAAUUGAACACACGUGAGAAGAGGGUUUGUUAGAGUUAUUGAUGUCCAUGUUAUUAUUUGUCUUUCUCCUUAGUAACACAUGACGAGAGAUUAUUCAAGUCGGUUGGAAUUUGUACAUAAGCAAGAGGUUAUCCAAAAAAUAGUGGCUCUGCAAUUUUAGUUUGAUAAUCUUAAUUAAUUGACGGUUUGUUUGUUUUUAUGUUGGCGUAUUGCGAGCGGCGCUGAGUCUUGGUGACAAUCAGGGAGAGCUUCUGUACCAGUGUCGGUUUCUAACAUAAUCCGGCAGUCCGUAGGGUCCGUUGCUAUAGACAGACCGUCUCCAGUCACAUUUCUACCCCAGCCGAUCCAUCCAUCUGGCAGUAGGACAAUUUGACGCUCCCUGCCCUGGCAGUUCUCAUGUUUUUCGUUUUUCAUGUAGCAAUAUGUAAUACUGUCUACGUGAUGUUAAUUUGAUAAGAAUCUAUACAAAUUCACGUCACUUAUUUUGGGACGGAGGAAGUGGUA